AUUGAACGCUGGCGGCAUGCCUUACACAUGCAAGUCGAACGGCAGCACGGGAGCAAUCCUGGUGGCGAGUGGCGGACGGGUGAGUAAAGUAUCGGAACGUGCCCAGUCGUGGGGGAUAACGUAGCGAAGGUUACGCUAAUACCGCAUACGAUCUAUGGAUGAAAGCGGGGGAUCGCAAGACCUCGCGCGAUUGGAGCGGCCGAUAUCAGAUUAGGUAGUUGGUGGGGUAAAGGCUCACCAAGCCGACGAUCUGUAGCUGGUCUGAGAGGACGACCAGCCACACUGGGACUGAGACACGGCCCAGACUCCUACGGGAGGCAGCAGUGGGGAAUUUUGGACAAUGGGCGCAAGCCUGAUCCAGCCAUGCCGCGUGCAGGAUGAAGGCCUUCGGGUUGUAAACUGCUUUUGUACGGAACGAAAAGGUUUGGCCUAAUAAGCUGAGCUCAUGACGGUACCGUAAGAAUAAGCACCGGCUAACUACGUGCCAGCCGCCGCGGUAA
rnacentral:rRNA from 1 species